rnacentral:rRNA from 1 species
UACGUAGGGUGCAAGCGUUAAUCGGAAUUACUGGGCGUAGAGCGUGCGCAGGCGGUUAUGUAAGACAGAUGUGAAAUCCCCGGGCUUAACCUGGGAACUGCAUUUGUGACUGCACGGCUAGAGUGCGGCAGAGGGGGAUGGAAUUCCGCGUGUAGCAGUGAAAUGCGUAGAUAUGCGGAGGAACACCGAUGGCGAAGGCAAUCCCCUGGGCCUGCACUGACGCUCAUGCACGAAAAGCGUGGGGAGCAAACAGG